rnacentral:rRNA from 1 species
CCUACGGGUGGCAGCAGUGGGGAAUAUUGGACAAUGGGCGAAAGCCUGAUCCAGCCAUGCCGCGUGUGUGAAGAAGGCCUUCGGGUUGUAAAGCACUUUCAGUGGGGAAGAAAGCCUUGGGGCUAAUACCCUCGAGGAAGGACAUCACCCACAGAAGAAGCACCGGCUAACUCCGUGCCAGCAGCCGCGGUAAUACGGAGGGUGCGAGCGUUAAUCGGAAUUACUGGGCGUAAAGCGCGCGUAGGCGGUCUGAUAAGCCGGUUGUGAAAGCCCCGGGCUCAACCUGGGAACGGCAUCCGGAACUGUCAGGCUAGAGUGCAGGAGAGGAAGGUAGAAUUCCCGGUGUAGCGGUGAAAUGCGUAGAGAUCGGGAGGAAUACCAGUGGCGAAGGCGGCCUUCUGGACUGACACUGACGCUGAGGUGCGAAAGCGUGGGUAGCAAACAGGAUUAGAACCCGAGUAGC